rnacentral:rRNA from 1 species
CAAAACCGGAGGAAGGUGGGGAAGACGUCAGGUCCUCAUGGCCAUUAUAGGUAGGGCUACACACGUCAUACAAUGGCCGGUACAGAGGGCUGCCAACCCGCGAGGGGGAGCCAAUCCCAGAAAACCGGUCGUAGUCCGGAUCGUAGUCUGCAACUCGACUGCGUGAAGUCGGAAUCGCUAGUAAUCGCGGAUCAGCUUGCCGCGGUGAAUACGUUCCCGGGUCUUGUACACACCGCCCGUCACACCAUGGGAGCGGGUUCUGCCAGAAGUAGUUAGCCUAACCGCAAGGGGGGCGAUUACCACGGCAGGGUUCGUGACUGGGGUGAAGUCGUAACAAGGUAACCA